rnacentral:rRNA from 1 species
CUUGUUUUUCAAAACAUGUUCUUUUGUUUAUAUAAAAGAUCUGGCCUGCCCUAUGAUAUAUAUUAAAUGGCUGCAGUAUUUUGACUGUACAAAGGUAGCAUAAUCAUUUGUCUUUUAAUUGAAGGCUGGAAUGAAUGGUUGGAUGAAAAAUAUACUUUCUUUAUUUUAUAAGGAAAACUUGAUUUUUUAGUUAAAAAGCUAAAAUUUUUUUAUAGGACGAGAAGACCCUAUAGAACUUUACUAUUAAAAUUAAAUAAUUUUUUUAUUUUAUUAAAAGGUUUUUUAUUAAAAAUAGUUUUGUUGGGGUGACAAAAAAAAUAUUAUAACUUUUUUUUAUUUAUAUCAUUUAUUUAUGUUUUUUUGAUCCUUUAUUAUGGAAAAUAAGACUAAGUUACCUUAGGGAUAACAGCGUUAUUUUUUUGGAGAGUUCUUAUCGAUAAAAAAGUUUGCGACCUCGAUGUUGGAUUAAAAUUAAUUAUAGGAGCAUAAUAUUAUAAAUUAGGUCUGUUCGACCUUUAAAUUUUUACAUGAUCAGU